rnacentral:lncRNA from 1 species
AGUUCUAAUUAUUAGAUAGAUGUAGAAUGUUCUUUCUUUGUUUCUCUGCUGCAAUGUGCAAUCCCACUCUGUUUGGCUACUCAAAUCGAGUCUAUGUUGAGACAUAAUUUUGACAUUAGAAGCAACCGCAACUAGUUUGGCAUUUGUACGACCCUUUGAAGGUUUUCAAAUUAGGCAACUAAAGUAUGAGUCAUCAGAUAUGAUUAAAACUCACCCAAUUCAAUCCAUCAGAUUCCGUAAGGAUAUAAUUGGAUGUCAUAAGGCCACCCCAUAUCCUCAAAAGUCCGUAGCCGUUGUCUCAACUCUGUCUGAGGCCAAUGUAAGUCCAAUUUGCACAAGCUCUUUAUGCACCAUAGCUCCUCUGGAAGUUUUCUCAAGUAAGCACAUGGGUUGACAGUUAAGCUUUCAAGUUUUGGCAUUGCUCCAGCCCCCAUCGUCCACUCAUCUAGUUAUUACGGACUAUUGAAUUUUGAGCCUCUCUAAUUUAUUUCUACUGCAUAGCGUUUCAAUAAGAAAAAUAAACAUAGGCUUCUUAUUACAGACCAACUCUGCCAACAUUCGAACUGUCCGUGGUUGGCCCAACCCAUGGCAGUUCCAGCUUAAGGUACUCAUUGCUCUCGGUGGGCCUGGAAUACAGGUCCCACCGCUAGCCCCUUUUUUGGAUUCACCACCAUAUAACUCACAUCCACCUCUGCACUCCAGCCCCAUAUCAGCCCUUCUUCUUUUAGCUUCCUUUAACACUAGCUCUUUCUCCCCAGACCUUUCAACUGCUUGAGUAAGGUCCAGCCCAUUUUCAAAUGAACCACUUCUUUGCCCUUAUCAAUCCGUUGACUGCUAGUGGCCUGAACAACUGGCAAUGCUUGUAAACUCAUUAUAUUUUCCAUAGAAUCCCGCCCAUCACUCCCUAUAUUGUUGGAAAAUUUCGUAUUAUUGGAAAUUCCUGAUUUGGAGGCAUUCAUCUCAUUAACCACGGUACCACUUGAGGAAUCAGUAAAAUUUCCAGAAUUAGCCACACUUGCUUCUGGCAGUUCCGAGCGUAGCCACCUUUCACUGGAGGACAUGGCAUUCCGACGAGUUGGAGCCUUCAUCUCUGGCCCAUAUGACCUUGUAAUAUCAGCAGCAUCGCAAUCAUACAACUUCGGACAAAGUUUUUCUGAAUGCCCAAGGAGUCCACAGAUGAAACAAAAAGUAUUUAACCGUUCAUAUUUGAAUUCAACCCAGAACCAAUCUCCUCCCUCCUUCUUUAGUCGCAAUCUUCGCUUCAGAGGUUUCCUGACAUCAAUGGAUACCCUUAUGCGCAUAUAGUUUCUCCACACUCCCAUGAGAUUAUUAGGAUCUGAAGAUUGAAACUCACCAAUAUAGUUACCAAUAUUUAUCAACACUUUCUCCGAAAGAAACCCAAUGGGUAAAUUGUACACUUGAAUCCAGAACGAAGUGUGGAAUAAAGGAACCCUAUGCGGCUGUUCAUUCUCCCCCAACCUCUUUAAAAUUAGAAUAUGUUGGUCGAAGGUCCAUGGUCCCGAAUCAAUAACACGCUUGAGGUCAACUUCAUGGAAGAAUUGGAACAAGAAAAGAGAAGGUGAUAAAUCUUUGAUGCACACUCCCUUCCCUGGACGCCAUAAUGCCGCCAUAGUAUUCUUCAUUGCCGGAAAGUUUAUCACCUUAUCAGUUAAAAACCGCCCCACCAAGUAGAAUCUAAAAUCAGUCAACCCUGCAUUUCCAGUGGCAAUAUCCUCGCUGUGGAAGACAAGACCAUCCUCAUCUUCCUCCCCAAUAGAAAACUUAUCAUAUGCGACAUUCAUCUCAUGCUCCCCUGAAUCUCUAUUGGUCGUCAUAGUACUCGUAAUAAGCAAGAAGUAUACCUAUCUAGCCGGAAGUACCCUAGAGCAAACUUGUCAGAAGGACAAGACAAACAAAGCUUGCCGGAAGUACCCUAGAACCUAGUUGUUUGCAUUAAAAAUGAUAUUUUUUGUGGUGUUUAUAAUGAGGUUAAUUAUAAUUCAACAAUUUAAAAUAUGAAAACAUAUGGAAGAUGGCCGUAUUUAAAUUGAUUGUAUGAAAGUAUUUCAAUGAAAUUCUAAAAAUUUGGUUCUUGUUAUCUUAUCGAAAGUUUUUUAAAUUAUAUUACUACUUGAACUUAACUCCUGCAUUGACUGCUUCUACUUAAAAGCCAUUCAAGUUUGUGUAAGCUACCUAUAGUUUGAACAACAAUUUACUCAUGAAUUGUUGUUCAUGACAGCAAUUUGAUUGAAAGUGGGGCUGCACUAAUUUUCUAGAUGAUUUUUUUCCUACAUGCUUGUUCUCAUAUGAUCCAAAAUCCUGCUACAUCAGUUGUAUUAGAAAUUACUCAUGUGGGCUACAAUUCUGCAUCCCCACCAAUAUUUAAGCAAUCUACAGAAACAUUUCUUGAGGAAAGAAACUCAUAUCGGCACUAGGCUUUCAACGAGGCUAAUUUUUAUGAAUCUGGAUAGCAUAAGAUAUCUCUCCGAUACACGUACUACAAAGUGUAUGUACGUUGACUCUCAAUAAAUACAAACGAUUCUCUGAUAUGAUUAAAAACAUCAGUGCAUGCAUCAUUUUAAUGAGAAAGAAUAUUCUAAGAACGAAAUUGAACGUGCAAUCAGCAACUAAAAUGAAGCCAGAAACAGAAAUGUACACGCAUGAGGAAGUUUUCUUAGAAGAUUGACAUUUCUUUGACUAGCAAACCAUACAAGUCCAAAGCUAGCCAAAACAUACCUGCAAGUCCGGGGCUUAAAUGGAGUACUUCUAAGCAUAACACAUUAAUCAAAACACGAUACACACACACACACAUACAUACCAGCAAAUUCAAAAUAGAAAAAGGAGUGCAACUGUUCAAGUUUGUAGAAAACAUUGCAACCAUGGCAUAUAUUAUAGCAAAUCCUUGAAAUCUGCUAAAUAAAACAAUGCCCUGUCUCAUGAAUCAAAGCCGAAUUAAAAUUUAAAUUGAAAGUCCGGCUGGUGUUGUUUCCUUCUCCAGUUUUGCCCACAUAAGUGAAGGGAAAUGAGAAUCAUAAACUAAAAUGUUCUUUUACAGUUCUUAUUAGAUAGAUAUAAAGGGAUCUUUCUUUGUUUCUCUGCUGCAAUUUGUGGCUAUCCCACUCUGUUUUGCCACUCAAGCUUAGUCUACGUUGAGACAUAAUUUUGACAUCAGAAGCAACCUCAAUUAGUUUGGCAUUUUUAUGACCUCCUUGUACGUUUUACGAUAAACAUAAAUCUACUGAGAAAGUGGGAAAAAAAAGAAAAUGCAUAUAAAAGUAUGAGUUAUCAGAUAUGAUUAAAACUCACCCAAUUCAAUCCAUCAGAUUCCGUAAGGAUAUAACUGGAUGUCAUACCGCCACUCCAUAUCCUCGAAAGUCCAUAGUCUUUGUCUGAACACUGUCUGAGGCCAAUGUAAAUCCAAUUUGCGCAAGCUCUUUAUGCACCACAGCUCUUCUAGAAGCUUUCUCAAGUAAGCACAUGGGUUGACAGUUAAGCUUUCAAGUUUUGGCAUUGCUCCAGCCCCCAUCGUCCACUCAUCUAGCCAAUACAUUGAUUUCAGGUGCAAAACCUUAAGCUCCGGAAAGCCACCAGAGCCAACACAGGACAGCUUUCUUCCUAAAUACGAGUUCUGCUUCAGUUUAAGUACUUGAAGGCAUGGAAGCUUUUCUAGCGUUGGCAUGGGAUCCUCCUUUAGCUCAGUAUUUGAUAAGCUCAGAUGGGUCAGACUUGGAGGAAACUGGUAUUCAGACAGGACCAUUCGUGAGGGCUUCCUUUCAUUCACCAGUUUCAAGCAUUCAAGUUUGUGGAGUUCGCAUAGGCUUUUGGAAACCCCAGAAUGAUAGCAACUCAAAUCUCCACAUAUCCGAAGAGUUUGAACAUUAGGUAGUCUGCCCAAAAUAUCUGGAGUACAACUAUUAGGGUUUAAGGCCGAUAUGAAAAUGAGAUUUUUCAGAGAGCUAGAACCAAAGUUUAGAUGCAUGAGUUUUUCCAUCUUCCAAAUAUCCUUUGGUGUUUGAUCUACGUAGCUAGAUGGCAUUUCUAGUGUCUGAAGGUUUAAAAGGGUGCAUAGCAGGGAAGGAAGACAUUUGAGUGAUGGGAUAUUCAAUUUCAAAUACUUCAAAUGGAAUAAAUUCUCUAAUCCGGGUGGAUAUUGGUCGAGAACUGCAAAACCCAUGUUCAAUACCCGAAGGUGUUUGAACUUUUUCCAAAAAUUCUCGCAAUCUGUCAGAGCAAGAUGUUCGCUUUUCCAAAAUGAGGUACCGUUUAGCAGUUCCCAGUGAUAUCUCUUCCAAGUUGGAGUACAGUCUAACAAAUCCCAUCUUUUCUGCCACCCAACGUAAAGCAGCAUAUACAUAACUUGGAACGUAACACGCUUUAAUUGUGCCGCCGGCUCUUAUCUUACCCACUUGAAUGAAUCCGCUAUUGCUUAAUUCUUUCAAGUACUCUUCAACCAUUCUCUAACUGUUGUAAUUGCCCGGUAUCAAACCUUCAGCUAUCCACAACUGACAUAAUUGCCUGGUAGAUAUCUCAAUGCUUGGAGGGAAGACACACAAAUAGAUGCAGCAGACUUUCAAGUGAAAAGGCAGCUCCCACACAGAAUGAAUUUGACUCAAAAUUGUCGGAAUCGCUUUCUGUCCAAUAUAAUUUUCUAAUGGCGUAUUUCCAUAGUCUAGGAUGAAAAAUUGCCAGGCUUCAUACUUUAUUCUAAUCAAUGGUCCUCCAACGAGAACUGAAUCAGGCUGGAUCUUUUCUCCGUUUUGCAAUUCGAACCAAAAAAGCGUUAUCAGUACUCUGCUUCCAUUCUGAUUAUCAGGAAGAAAUUCUACAAGAUCACUCCAUAUCUCACUGUCAUCAAGCACAAUAAAGUACUUCUUGUCUGUUAGGUAAUCUCGAAGAAUAGAUUUCUUCAAUUGAUAAUCUUCACCGAUAAUUACACUAACCCGAGAUGGAGGCAUCACAGAGUUGAUUAUGUCAUCCAAUAUCUUGCCAAAAUCGUAGGCUAUAGAAACCCUGACCCAAGCAUGGCAGUCAAAAUAAAACUGGACAUGGUUAUUGUUGAAAGCAUCUGCAGCAAAAGCAGUCAUAUCAAAGCCACUGCUGUCGAGAAUUGCAACCACUGAAAGCCGAGGAGGGCCCUCAAUCAAUAAAUCAAACAACUCCUCUCUGCCCCUUUCAAAUUCACUCUCAUCAACCCGAGGUUGUCCCUCAAUCAAUAAGUGAAUGAGUUUGUCCCUUCGUUCACUGAUAUCGAAAUCAUUGUCGCUGGGUGGAAGUUGUUCCAUCCGAUUUCUAAUGUCAAUGAUUUUACUGUGGAGUUCAACAAGAUGAGCCUUACAAGUAGUGCUUUCACUGUUUUGCUGCUGCAUGAUGUUGAUGAAGAAGGCGUCAAUGGCUUCCUCGGGUUCUUGGACAAAGUAAUUGAUGUCCUCCAGAAUUUCCAAAAUGUCUGGUCUGUUAACAUUUUCUUAUGAGUCCAAGAGUUGCCAAAAAGGCAAAGAUAUCCUGGCUUUAUCGAAAUGUUCUCUAAAGAGUUGAAUCAGAUGAAGAGACAGGUCGCCUUCAUAGUUCCCCAGUUGUAAUAAUUUCAGACUCCGUAAGAAGGUCCUGGAAAAGAGGGGUUAAAUUUGUUGAAUCAGGCAAUGUUAACGGGCCUUUCAACUUCUCACAAAAUGGUCGGAGGUGGACGUCCAUAUCUCCUUCCCUCUGUAGUACUCAGAGGUAUUGUUAUUUGCUUCAAGAAAUGUUCAAAGGAUUGGUUCUAUCUCAAAGUGGUUGGUGGUGUAAAAUUAAACACGAGGUUAGUGGUGUAAAAUUAAAAACCAUGGUAGUAUUUGCAAGGGAUGUGCCAAGAGACUGGCUAAGUGGCUGAUUUCCACAAAUAUGACAUUAUUGCUCAUUUUUUCGCCAAGAGACUGGAAGAGUAUAUUUCUAUUAUUUAUAUUUGAAUACGAAACCAUAGUUGAUUAUUAUGAAAUUUUUUAACAUUAUUGAUAAAUUAAAAUUUAAUUAUAUAUUAAAAUUAUUUAUUAUUGAUUAGAUAGAUUUUAUACUGUUUCUAAAAAUUGUUUAAUAUUAUUCACAAAUUAAUAUAUUUUAUUAUAUAUUUAAAUUAUUUAUUACAUAUUAAAUUAAUGUUAUAUUAUUUUCAAAAAAUGAAAAAAGAUUUUAUGUACUAAAUUAAUAUAUUUUAUUAUAUAUUUAAAUUAUUUAUUACAGAUUAAAUUAAUGUUAUAUUAUUUUCAAAAAAUGAAAAAAGAUUUUAUGUACUAAAUUUUUUUUUCAAGUUAUUGGCCUUAUACUGUCAUUAAUUUUAAUAGUAAAUUAGAUCAAUUGAUCAAAAUAUAAAAUAUAAAAAUUAUCCAAAAUUAUUUUUCAAACUUUUGAUUAUUUUAUUUUUUAAAAAAACAAUAGGGAUGGCAAUGUUAAAAACCAAAGAGAAUACAUCCAUGCCGUUGAAAUAAGUUUUGCGUUAGAUUGAGCAACUCAUUCACGGACAAAACAUGGGGUACCAUGCUGGACCCUUUGAGUUUUAUUGGGACCAGUUGAUUCCUUUUAAUUUUGAAUUUUAAUCUUUUUGUGUUGGCAGCCCCUUAACCUUGAGCUUGAGAUAGCUUGAAACAAUUGCUUUUUCGAUUAAGUGGACCCAAUUGUCAUUGACUAUUCCAUGUUUGAUCCAUUCAAUUUGAGCAAUAGUGAUCUUAUGAUUCUCAUCCGUAUUGCUCCAAUUUUUUUAAGAAAACCAAGUGGAUUCUUUUUCUCUAUGUGAACUUACCAUGUUUCUAAAGAAAUUUAUCUUUUCUUUAAAUGAUUUAUGAGAAUUUUAAAUUUUGUUUAUUGAUUGUUACAUUAUUUAUAUUAAUUACGCUCAAUUUAUUUUUUAAAUGCAUGAAUAGCAUUGGCAUCUUGUUUAUUGCAAAAAUUUAUUAUAUAAUAAUAAUCCAUUUAUCUAACAAACAUGUGGGAUCUAUCAAACUUUAGUGGUAAUUAUUGCAUUACAGGAUUCAUAAUAACAAAAAACAAAAAGAUAGAGAUCGCUAAUUUAUUUUUCUCUACUUUACGAACAAAAAAUAGAAAUAAGAACUGUUCAACUUCUUUUUUAAUUCAAAAAUGAAUCUGCCAAAUAAGUUUUACACUUUUAUAUUUUCAUAAAUUGAAAAACAGAUAACCAAAAAUGAUACCAAACAUACCUUUAAUUGUCCCACGUGAUUUCUUUAUUAAGCGUAUAUUCAUUUUACUGCUUUAAGUGUUUUAAUAAUAAAAGAAGUUGAUCCUCUCUCUGUUUAUAAAAAUAACUUUAUUUCAAGAUUACCACUAAACUCUUAAGUAGAAUUAGUGUAAUGUCAAAAAAGAACAAUACACUUUACCAUCUUUAAAGAUAGAAAACUAUGGAUUUUUGUCUUUAAGAGUAUAUUGUGAAAAUCAUAGAAUUCAAUUUCUUGACGUAUAUACUUAUGCAUGCAUGACAAAAGUGCAUGACAAAAGCAUAAAUAGAUAGAAAUUAAAUUUGCAAUCAACCUUAAAACAUAAAUGGAGAAAACUUAUCAACUUAAAUAGGCUUGCUUAGAUGUUCUUCUCUUAUAUUGUGUUUACUUGUUGGAGUGAAAGUAAGGGGUUUGGAUUCCUUCUACUCCAGUACUUAUUGCUUAUUUAAAGAGGAAAAUGUGAGUCUCACUCCAUAAGUCCCACUCAAUUUUGGAGUGUGGAGUGGGAUUCCCACUCCCAUGGAGGAGGUGGGAGUGGGAAUCUACUCUCACCUCUUCUUUUUUUAUUCUUCUUUUAUUAAAUAUAAUAUAAUUAUAUUUAUUAAACUAAUAAUGUCACAAUUACUUAAAAACAACAAUAUUAUAUUUAUUUAACUAAUAUUAUUAUAAUAUUAUUUAAUAAUAUUAUAUUUAUUAAAAAGAUUAAUAUUAAACUUAUUAAAUACGAUAUUAUUAUAUUUUGUUAAAAAUAAUAAUUUAUUUAAUGUAAGUUAAAUUAUUUUUAAAUAAUAUUAUUAUAUUCAUGGAGAAUUAAUAAUAUUACUAUUAUUAGUUUAAUAGCAUUAUAUUUAUUUAAUGUUAAUAAUUAAUAAUAAAAUAGUUUAUUCCAAGAAAAUAUUAAUUUUGUACUAUAUUGUUAAUAAUAAUCUUUCAUGUGUUGCUCUUAUUAAUAAUUUUUAAUUUACAUAAUUAAAUAAAAAUUAAUAAAAAAUUUGUGAUUUAUAUAAUUAAAAAUAUUAUUAUUAAUCUAUGUAAUUAAAAUUAAUAAUAGAACAAGCAGUUUAUUUUAUAAAUAUAUUUUUUUAUUCACUUUAUAAUUAAAAAGUACAAUUCUUUAACUAAGAGUAAAAUUAUAAUUUAGAAUAAUUUACUCGUAUUCCAAGACAAAAUAACAUAUAAAUCAGCUUCUAAUUCCUUUUCCAUGCUUUUACUCUAGUAUAAGUAAACAACGUUCUUUAGUAUAGUAUAGUAUGAGGGACAGAGAAUAAAAGUUAAAGACUUAAAGGUGAUCCAUUUUCUUUAUAAAAUGCUCUGUUGAAAGCCAAACUUCCUUUGGCUAAUUAAUUUAGAAGUAAAGCAAAUAAUAAAGUCCUAGAUGUCUUUUGAAAUUAGAAAUACAUUUUAUAUUAGUAACUUUAUGUGCUUAAUUAAGAUAUUUGAUAGAUUAUAGACCUAAAAGGCAUGUUAUAUUACAAAAUAGAGCCAUUAAAGGAAAAAAAAACGGUAUUUUUGACGUCCAAUAAUAAUUGGUAAUUAAAAUCCUGAAUAUUUGAGCUGUUAAAAGCAAAUAUCAAAGAAUGUAAGAGUGAUGCAAAAACACAAAACUAUUAGUUGAUCUUGAUUUUCCCACUUUAUUCAUUUUCGUUGCUUUUCAAAAGAGAUUCCUUUAAACCUUCUGGUGUCUGCAACCCCUGCUACUAGUAUAAAUCUCCAUCCCACAUCUACACUACAAACAAGUUGAUUGCAAUUGAUGGAUCAAAAAUAUAAUAGGCCCUGUCAAAGCCUAAGAAGUGGUGGAUAGACCAUUUAGAAUAAUCCUCCUCAGUGACAAGACUUCAAAGCCCAAAAGUACCCAGGUCCUGAGAUCCUAUCCUAAGACAAGCCACCUAGGUGGCAAGAGUUCAAAGCCUAAAAGGUAUCCAGGUUUUAAGAUCCUAUCUUAAGGCAAACCCCCUUAAAUAUCUUCCAAGGUGGCAAGGCCUUAAAACCCAAAAAGUAUCGAGAUCAUAGGCUCCUAUCCUAAGACAAACUACCUAGGGUAGUCCUCCUAGGUGGCAAGGCUUUAAAUCCCAAAAGACUCUGAUAUCCUAGGCUCCUGUCUUAAGACAAACUACCUAGGUUCAAAGUUUCUAUCAUCCCAGAGUCUUAGUAAAAACAUCCUAAGGUUAAAAUCUUCUUCCAUUAAUUUGUAAACAAGCUUGCAUAUCCAUAUGUCAAUUAACAUGGGCGUGAACAAAAAAAUGUCGCUAGAUGUCACAAGAACAAUGACACUUGUCAUCAAAGUAAGUAGGACUAAAGUCAAAUCAAUUUCGCCUAUAAAAGCCCUCUAUUUUCACUAAAAAGUAAGGGAAAAAAGAACUUAAAAGGAAAACACUGACUUUCUCUCUCUAAAUUUAUAUUUCCUAGGUAACUAACUUGACUGUUGGAUGGUUUAUGCUAGCAAUGCCGGCCCUUUGAUUUCAAGAGCAGAAAGCUACCAAGUAGUUAUCCUAGCCAGAAUGGUUCCCAUGUCAGAUGCAAGAGUGCCUAAGUCAAUUCUGGUGGAAGUCAAAACCUUCCCAAGCGUUAAGUAGGAAACAUAUGUGAUGAGGAUAGACGAGCAGAGCUCAUGGAUGGAUCCAAUAAUCUCAUACAUUUGAGAUGGAACAUUACCGAUAGAUAAAACGCAAGUAAGAAGGCUCAAAUGCUAAACAACUAAUACACAUUAAUUGAUGGGGUGUUGUACAGACAAGGAUAUACAUUGCAUUUCCUCUAACAUUUAGGUAAUGAUAAAGCAUAUUAUGCGCUGAGGGAGAUUUGUGAAGGGAUCUACGAGAGUCACUGGGGGGAGGUCUUUAGCAUUCAAGGCCUUAAGGAAGGAUAUUUCUAGCCGAUAAUGCGCUAGGAUGCACAAGAGAAGACCAAGCAUUGCAAAAACUAUCAGGAUUUCGCAUACUAUCUAACAUAACCAACAGAGAAGCUCACCAUAAUGUCCUUAUCAUGGCAUUUGGAUAGUGGGGGAUUGAUCUAACCGAGCCAUUAUCAAAAGGUAAAGAAGCAAUUACUCACACUAUUAUAGCAAUCGGCUACUUUAAGGAAUGAGGUAUUCACUACUAGAAAAAUGGUCUUUUGUGACACUUGUCUUCUGAUACUUUAUUAUAAAGUAUUAGUAAUUACAUGUAUUUGGGGCAUUUUCCAUGUUUAACAGAUAAGUAUAACAAAUUGCUAAUACUAUGGUGUCAGUAAAUUAAAUAUCACAGAUUCAUGACACUAAAAUAUUAGUAGUUAAAAAAAUAAAAUUUUAAUUUUGUAUCUAGUAAUAAUCGAACCGAAGACCCCUAAGCCAUAACCUUUUGAUUUUAACCGCUAUACCACUCGGCCACAAAUUACAUAUUUGAACUUAUAAAUUAAUAAAUAAAUAAAUAUUAAAACUUAAAACCUAAAAAUUUUUCAUGUAUGGUCUGUGUGAAAUCUAAAACCUAAAAAUUUUUGUUAAGUUAAAAAUCUAUCUCACGGCCGCCGAAGCUUUCUUCCUUCUCUCUCCAUCCCUCUCCCUCGCUCUCUUUCUCUCUCUAAAAAUGAUCUACCUUGAAAGCCGCCUCCGUCAACACCUUGAAAGCCGCCAUCCUUAAGCUAAAACAUCCCUGAAAAGAACCCAGAAAGUGCUGUGAAGAAUUUGGGCAAAGCUAAGGUUUGAAAGUCCGAAUCAGUGUUGUGGUAACUCUUUGUCUCAUUCUCUAUUCUCAUUGUUUAAGUAUUUAUCUGUUAAUUGAUUGAUGUUUAUUGAGUGCAAAUGAGAGCUUGCACUUGUUUGGAAAUCUAGCCGUCUAGGGUUUUUGUUGCUUAUAAUCUAAUUCAUUGUUUAAUAAAAUAAAUAAAACGCAAUUAUAGGUGGAAUUCAGUUUAUUAAGUGAAACAAACUAUUGACGUGUAAUAAUUGUUAGUAAAUACUAUCACUAUAGUGUCAUAAUAUUUUGUGAUACUAUGGUGAAAGUAACUUUUAACAAGUGAUCAUUAUCAGUAAUUACUAAUACCAUAGUGUCAUAAAUCUGGUAAUACUAUAGUAAUAGUAAUCACUAACACCAAUUACAAGUGUCACUAUUUUUCUGACUCCCAGAUUACUGACACAAUUAACAAGUGUCAAUGAAAGUAAUUUCUGACACUAUUCUAAAGUCAGUAAAGACCAUUUUUCUAGUAGUGUAUGGAUUUAGGUUGAAUACAAUUUGUUAAUUAAAAGAAUAAUCGCAAUCGACAAUCAUGGGUUUAGUAUGUAUUAUAUAUUUCGUUUAAUGGUGUGUAUGAAAACCCAAAACCUAAAAUUUUCUUAAGUAAGAAUCUCAGUUCUCCCUCACGACCUAUAAGCCCAUCACUCUCUCUCUCUCUCUCUCUCUCUCUCUCUCUCCCCUCUUUCCAGCUAACAACCCAAAACUUAUUGUGAAACCGCCAUAUGAAUCGUUCAAAGCUCAUUAGUUAGCUGGUUAUUGUGAAAAGUAAGGUUAUUGUUUGCUUUUAUGUCUAAUUUUACUUUAAACAUGGGGAUUGAUGAUAUUCAAGUUGUUGGACACUUGAUUUUGAGGUGAAAGAUUAAUUAAUAGUUUAUGAAAUUAUGCUGAAAAUUUGAGGAUUGAUAUACUGUUGUUGUGAACUUGGUUGUUUCCGAACUUGACUAAAUGACUUUAAAAUCAUUUGAAAGUUUGAUUAAACUAAGUUUAAAUGAGAACAUUUUAGUUCUGGAAAUUUUGGAAUGAAUUGGGUUUAUAUUUGAUUUUGAAUGGAUUUCUCAAUAUGGUUGGUUGUUGUCCAAUUUUAUUAGAAAUUACAUAUGUACCAUGUUUGAUAUUGCAAACGUAUAGUCUAACAGAGUUAGAAUAAGCUAAAAUUCGGAUAAACUACACUUCUAUUUGCAUACUUCGAAUCUGGAAAAUUUUAUUUUAAUUGAACUUCUAAUUUAUUUUUAAUGAUUUUUCAAACUCUGCUGCCUCUGCAGUAACUUCUUUUGACAGAACUGUUCAUUAAUCUUUGAUCCUAUCAAACACCAGCCUAAUGAUAUCGGAAUAGCCUCAAAUUUUAAUAUGUUGUUGACUUAUAUGUCCACUUAAAAUCUGGAAAGUAUCAUUCUGAUAUAUUUAGUAUUUUAAAUUUGAUAAAUAUUCAAAUACCUACUGCUACUUUUACAGUUUCAUAUGCAAUUUUAACUUACAUAGUUUUAUCAUGUGAGAAGCAAAUGUAGAGUUGUCCAAAUGACUUGGAAAUUUUGUUUGUGGUGCAUUGACAUGUCUAAUUAUGUUUUGUAAGUUUCAUAGCAUUCCAAAUUGAAUUAAAGAAAAUCUUAAAUUCAAGCUGUCAAUGUUUUCUAUUAAAUCUGAUUAGUGAUAAAUCUACUAACUUGCAGUACUUUUCAGGAAAAAAAAAUGUGUCAACACUGUGAAUUGCAAUGGGAGAAGAAAGUACCAAAGGCAUAAAUCUUUUUUCAUUAUAUUUGGGACUAUUCUUAAAGGUUAGUCUUUUCCUUUUUUUCUUUUUUAUUUAAGGUAAUCAUAUUCAUUUUAAUUUUAAUUACAAUCAAUUUGGCACUGUUAGACAACUCGCACCAACCAAUCCAACAGCAAAUGAAGAUAACAUUUUUGAAAUGCAUUCAGUUUUUGACAAUAGCAAAAAGAAAAAAGGAAAAAUGAUACUAGUUUAGGCUUUAGGAAAUUUGCAUCAUCAUUCUUGCACUGUAGCUGCCUCUAUCUCGGUGCUCUCGAAGAAGUAAUCUUGCUUGAUUUUGCGUGAUAGUUGAUACAAGUCCGUCCUAGCCAUUGCAAAAUUGACACUAAAAAGGUUCUAGUUUUUCAUACUGUAGUUUGAAAAGUCUGCAAUGUUUGCUAUGUUGAUGCCCCAUUUGAAUGUUGGAGCCCAAAAAUGAAUGGUUUUAGGACCAGCCGGGUGGUUCCAGAAAGCUAGGAGCUUGUUAGCUAUUCUUUUUAAUUGAACUAAUUUAACUUAAAUAUUAGCCCGAUUAUUGAUUUCUAUGGUUUGCGAUUGAUUUGAGUUUGACAUUCUUGUUUUGUGGUGGUUUGAGUUUGACAUCCUAGUUUAAGACUUUGAAGGCUUCCAAGAAAUGAUUUUGGAUGAUGAGCAUAUGAGUAAUAGUUUGAAAAUUAAUUUACUGUAUCAAAUAUAUACUUAGUGUAGCAUAUUAAUUUUAAGAACUAUGGAUUAUUCCAUGAAUAUUCUAGUAAAUUGUUAUGUUAUAUAUGCAUGUCUUAAUAUAUAAUAAUUAUAUUUUAAAGUUUGUUUUUUUUCCCUUUCUAGGUUUAGGAAAAAUGUUUAAAGGGAUUUUGGGUUAUGAUGUCAAUCAAGUUAAAGCAACAUUACUUGUGAGUGGAAAUAUAUAAUGAUUAUAUUUUUAUUCUACUUUUUUUUAUCUUCUUAAAGUUUUAUAAUUAGGAAAAAUUAAUGAAUACUUAAUUACAAUUUAGGGUGAUAUUCUUUAAAUGGUUCACAUGAAUAGAUUUAAGUAAUAUAAUAAAUCUCAUACUCACUUUUUAAAGGCUUAACUAAGUUUGCAAAUAUUAUUUUUUUUAGUAGUAAUAAUUUUGGAAUGAACUCUCAAAUUAUUGAAAUAUUUUAUGUCCAAACUUUAUUAUGCCUAAUAUAAAUAUGGAGAUUCAUAGUUAUUUUAUGCCUAGUUUAAGGAAACUGCAGUUUGAGGACUUAUUUUUUGCCUUGUUAAAUAAGCUUUUAGAAUGAAUAAAUUGAGGAAAUGAGUGGUGAUUUAUUUAUAAUAGAGCAUUUGUCAUAGCUUUUAACCAUGCACAAAAAUCAUUUGGUAUAUGUAGAUAGAGUAACAUGCUUGUGCUGAAAGUAGAUAUUACAUUGUAAACUUCUUGUCUGCUAUAGUUUGCUAUAUAUAUAACCUUUACCAAAAGAGAAUAAUAGUUUAUUUAUAAAUAGCUUAUGAGUAUUUUUUCUUUCGAACAAAAUAAUUUUAUUUCUGUUAAUUGUUGUUUCUCUAAUGGUUGGAUAUUGGCAGCUAAUUUUUCUUUUCUUUUCUUUUCCAUGUAUUCAUAUGCAGAUUUGAUCAAUGUGUUUAAAGUGUUUAUUCCUCAACUUCACUUGUAUCCUAACCCAUACAGUCUAUUGAAUGGAGAAGCUGCUGGUGUGAUAACGCAAUUAUACUAUUCAUAUUCAAAGAGUGAAAGGCCGUCAUCAUUCUCAAUUUAGCUUCUAGAUUUAUUAAAUUUAGCCACAAGUAGUAGGCAUUUGAUUGGAUGGUAGAAAUUUUAUGUAUUGAAUUUGGAUUAUUUAGUUAUGAGAGUAGGAUAUCUCAUAUUUUGGUUAUUGAAGUUGAAUUUGUAAUAUAUACUGAUAAUAUUUAAAUGUGAAAUGAAAGAUUUUGUGAUAUAAAUCAAUUUCUUUUUGUUAUUAUGUGGUGCCUUUUAAUUUUACCAAUAAAUCAAUAGGCAAUGAUCCAAUUCAAUUUUUUAUUUUUUUAAAAAUAAAUUAACUAGUGAUACCAUGGUAACAGUAAUCAUAGACACUAAUAAAAUAUCAAUAACUACUAACACUAUGGUGUCAUAAUAUCGGUGAUAUUGUAGUAAUAGUAAUCACUGACACCACUUACAAGUGUCACUAUUUUUCUGCCUAACAUAUUACUGACACAAUUAACAACUAUCAGUGAAAGUAAUUUCUAACACUAUUCUAAAGUCAGUAAAGACCAUUUUUCUUGUAGUGCUUGCCUCUCAAUAAGAUCACAGAGAAAAAGACAACCAACUUUAUUUGGAAGAAUUUUGAAUGCAAAUAUGGAAUAUCUGAUGCACUUAUAACAGAUAAUCGAAAGCAUUUGAAUAAUAGCAAUUUUAGGGAGUUUUGUGAAAAGUUGAAGAUUGAAUCGAGAUUCUGCUCGUCUGCACAUCCAGAAGCAAACGGGCAAGUCAAGGCAGUGAACAAAACACUGAGAAGCUCUUAAAGAUGCCACUGGGAGAAAAGAAAGGUUUGUGGGUCGACGAGCUUUCUAAUAUAUUAUAGGCUUACAAGAUUGCUCACAAGAUCACUAUGGGUGAAAUACCGUUUGCCUUAAAUUUUGGUGAUGAGGCAGUUAUUCCAACAAAAAUUGUGAUGAUCACACAUCGAAUGACGUACUUUGAUGAGGAGGAAAACAACGAGCAAAUGUAUUUGAACUUAGAUUUACUUGCUGAAAAAAGAGUGUGCAUCAGCAAGGUUAAUUACCUAUUAGUAGAAAAUUACCCGCUAUUACAACUAGAACGUAUGAAUAUUAGCCCGUUUGGGAGUGUGGUGAGGUAGAUGGGUUGUCAAAGCUCAGCUACUAAAGUGUUACCAAACACUUUAGUAGCUGAGCUUUGGUAGCUUAGCAAAUUUUUUUUUUUUAAUUUCUACUCCACAGCUGUACCUUUUAAUCCACAGCAGCUGCAGCUUAAAAGCUACAACACCUCAUUCCCAAACACACCGAUUAUUUAGAGAUGGAGAUUGGUUAGAGUUAACCAAAAUAAUAGAGGUUCGACCAAAGGCAGGGCCGUACAAAGUUUUGCUAGUAGUUAGACCAAAGGCAUAUAAGUUGGCCUAUGCGGAUGGUUAAUUACUCAAAAGAUCCUGGAAUAAUAUAGAACAUUUGAAGAAGUACUUUUAGUAAAAAAAAUUGGUAAUAAGUUGGUCGCCAAUGUUAAGCAAUCCAGCUUUCCUUAAGCAUUUUUGUUUUUGUAAUUCAUUAGCUAUAAAUAAAAUGUUUGCGAAAUCCUUUCAGUUCUUGUUUUGUUGAAAUUUUUUUUAGGCAAGUAAAAGGCUUUAAGUCUUAAAGCCUUUUUAAGACGAGACAAAAAUCAAAAUUUGCCUAUGCCUACUCGACGGAGUUGAAGCGAGCAACGGAUUCCAUACAAAAUUUUUUCUGAGGCAAGUAUAAGGAUUAAGUCUCAAAGCCUAUUCGAGGUAAGACAAAAGUCAAAAUUUGUGUACGCUUGCUCAAAGGGAUUAAACGAGCAAGCUAUUACUUGUGAAAAUUUUCUAAGAAAGUAUAAGGCUUUAAGUUUCAAAGUCUUCUCAAGGUGAGAUAAAGGUCAGAGUUUGCCUACGUCCGCUCGACAAAGUUGAAGCGAGCGGCCGAUUUCUUACAAAAAAUUUUCUAGGGCAAGUAUAUGACUUUAAGUCUCAAAGGCCUCUUUGAGGUGAGACAAAAGUCAAAAUUUGCCUACGCCUUCUCAACAAGGAUUAAACGAGUAGACAAUUACUUGUGAAAAUUUUGUAAGGCAGGUAUAAAGCUUUAAGUCUUAAAGCCUUCUUGAGGUAAGACGCCAGUUAGAGUCUGCUUACACCUGCUCGACAGAGCUAAAGUGAGUAGCCGAUUCCUUACAGAAACUUUUCUAGGGCUUUAAGACUCAAAGCCUCCUCGAGAAGAGAUAAAGAUCUAGUUUGCCCUACUUUCGCUCGAUAGUAAUAAAGGUGGAAUAUUCCAAGGCAAAUAAAAGAAGCUUUUGGAAAAUAUUCUUAGUAUUUAAAAAUAGAAAUAAAGACAAAAAUCUUAAAGUAAACCAUUAGCACAUGGACAUUCUUAAUUACAUUUAGGAAGAUUUAUGAUCCAUUUGUCAGGAGCAGGAUCCGCUUGUUCAGGGAGCAUUUGGAGGUCAUCAUUAACAGCAGGAGGAGGGACAUUCUUAGUAGCUUUAGGAAUUUCAUCUUUUCCUUCAUCUUCUUUAGCUUUUUGUUCAUUUAUGUAUUUGGUAACUUUAGCUGCUUACUCAUCCAUCUUCAGCUUGGGGUGUUGCUUCUUGAGGACGGCCAUAAUGCACUUGUAAGAGAGUUUGAGGCCAGCAUUAUAGUUGUCAUCAAUCUCUUUUUCUAGAACCUUGACCUAACUUUGGUGAGUUGACUGCAUAUAUUUUAGUUGGUUCUCAAAAAGGGCUCUCUCAUGGGCAAGUUCUUCUCUCAUAUUAUUCAGCUCCUUCUCAAGUUGAGUUUCUUUCCCAUCGAACGGAGAUGCUCAUUCCUCCAAUUGUAAGUUCUUGACGCGGAGUUUCACUCAUCUUUCUUUGGUAAGUUUUACUUUUUUCUUCAAGGCUUGAUUGUCUACUGAAUUUUCUUAUCGUAAUGAGCAAUUUUCCAAAUUACCAAGCAUUCAUCAGCUCACCAAGUGUACGACCCUCCAUGUCCUCAAAGUUUUUCUUCUUGACUAACUUCGCAUAAUCAUUGUAGUACGUGACCAAGUGGUUUGCUCGUUCAUAUGGUAGUUAAGAUUCUGAUUUGGCGAGUGGAAGAGAGGUGAUAAGACUUCUCACUAGCGACUCUACUUGCUUUAUCCGCUUUAGGAAAAGAAUGGGGAAAACUUUUAAAGGAGAAAUCCACUGAAUAGCCUCAACUUUUUUCAUCAGUGUGGUGUCUUUGCUUGAGCUUUCAAAAGCUCCACCACUAUAAGGACGCUUCCUCUUCAUUGCUUUAAUUACUGCUUCCUUCAUGUUCUCUACCACCGAUAAUAGUUGCGAACUCACUAAGCUGGUCACAGAUAUUAGGUCCCUACACGAACACUAAUUAGAGAAGGCGAGCUCGACUCUCUGUAGUUGCAUACUUUUGAUCUUGUAGACCAUGCUUCAGACGUCUGCAGUAGGACGAUAGGAUGAGUGAAAAAAAAAGGUAAAAAAGUAGGAAAGCAUGUCUAAGAGUUAGCAAGCAGCUAAGAGAUACUACGAGCUGGUAAUAACAUGGAGUGGAGAAACGAGUAGGAACAUGUAUAUUCCUUUUAUCUGUAGGUGUUAUCUAGCCCCAAUUACCCCCAAAAAAGAAGAAUUUGCUUUUCCAAUUUCCAUCCCAAGUAGGGAUACUUGUUAUGGGUUUCCUUUUUUUAGUGCUCGACAUUAAGUAAUACCAAAUCGUGUCUUUCGAGCUACUCUUUAGCUAGUAUAGAUGCUUUAUCUCGUCAACCUUGGGCUCGCCUUGCCCGUACAUAUUUUACAAGAUGAACUGACCAAAAAGCACUUUCCAUCUAUUUGGGUUUAGUUGACUAGGCACCAAGUUUAUUCUUCCUAAUACUUGAACAAAAUAAGGCUGCAAGGGAAGUCUAACCCCAAUCUAAAGCACUCCAUAUAUAAGGUAAUAUAUUCCCUAGGGGAUGAUUAAGAGUGUCUUUAGGACCAACCACUUUUAGGAUGACGUCAUUAAGUAUGCUGUAAAUUCUCCUACGCUUAUCUAAGUCACUUUUUGUUGUACGGCACUUUAUUUCAUCAAUAGGACAAGACUUGUCUAGAGAUCUGCUACCGAUCUUCCUUUUCAAGUCUCGGUAGCUCCGUGUAUUUUAAGUUGAGUGAGUAGAGAUGUCCGCCUGGUUGCAACAAAUUAGUUUCCAAUUUUGAUUUGUUUCAAUCUCAAAAGUAGAAACUGAGGGACUAGUGUUGGGGAGAAAAAAGAGGGAGCAUGAUUAAAAACGAUUCCGUGCAAAUCAUUCUCUCUUCGAUAUUAGAGUUAAUAGCUAGCCCCCUCAGGGGAUGAUCUAAAUGAGCUCAUAAACAGCCUGCUUUAAUCAUUAUGUAAUAGGCAGGUUGCUCUGCAAGCCUGCUCACAUGAGGCAUGCUUGCACAAAGAUCUCAUGAGAAGAAACUUAAAUCAAGUCAAUCUGAAGAGUUGGUCAAGAAGAGCAUGAUCCUGAUCAACUAAUAGCUACUCUCCCUUAUCUAGGAAUGAGAGUCUCAAUUCUUUCUAAGAACCUCGGAAAAUUCAAAAUCAGGUAAGUUUUUCUCUCUCUUAUCUCUUUCUCUCUCUUCUCUAAGCUUUUCUAGUUUUUCUGGUAGUUUCUUUUAAAAUAUUAUUCGAAAGCAAUUAGAAUUAAGCCACAAGAGUUGUUGCAUAACUUUUUUCCCAAAAAGGUCUGAUUCCUAACUUAAGCAUUAGAUGUUUCACUGGAAAACAUCUGGCAUCUCUCUAACUGUUUUUGUGAACGCAAGUGAAUUUCGCAAGAAGUGCUCGUGGUCGCUAGUGUCUGUUCGAAAAAAGGAGGUGUGAGUAAGUACCAUUUCCCAUCAAAACAAAUUUAAGUGUUGGCAUGGACACCUGAUCGCAGCAAAAUCGACUAGAUUUCUGCAUCAACAAGGAUAAGAAAAUGGAGCUGAAGUGCUAAAUUAGCUAUUGAAGAAGAGUGUCACUUGAUCACAAUCACGUUGAUGCACAACUGUUGAGUUUUAAAAAAUGUAUAUUUAUAAAGGAGAAAAUCGUCAUUUUAUACUCCAAGUUUCACUAACAACCCUUACUUUUCUGUAUUUAAGUCUCUUGUGAUUUAAUUAUGUGCGUUUUAUUUUAAUUAAGUAUUUUAUGUAUUUUAGGGGCAUCAUGGUCGUUUCACAAUGAACGAGAGAUCAGACAACAAAACAGACAUCACUUUUGAACUUAGGACAGUCGAAAACCUUAGGAGAAGCAUAAAAGGAAAAAUGACACUGUUCACAUGUACGGUACUGUCCAUAUUACCGUUCAUGACACUGUUCACAUAUACGGAACGAUGACGUGGCAUUGACCGAUAAUGUGACAUUGACUUAUAAUGUGUCACGAUUCCACUGGACUAAAAUUCUUAUGCACUGUUGAUUGUUGCCGUGGUAGCAUGUUAGUGGACCAAAAAUCGUGCGUACGGUACAUGCAUAUACACGAGAUUAUUUACAACCAAACUGCGUCACUAUUCAAACUGCGUGGUCAAACCGUGUACUGUUCAAACCGCGUGGUCAAACCGCAUAUUGUUGACCGAUGACGUGGCGCAAUCCUGAGCAUGCAAAAUGUUUUUAAUCCGAUGAUCAUGAUUUACUCAGUGUAUCUAUAAAAAGGGGGGGAUUUGGCAUCCCUGAAUUCAUUUUUGAGUUCAAUUUUCUGUAAUUCCUUCUCCAUCUUGUAUUUUCUACGUAUUUUAAUAAAUUUCUAUUUUACCCCUAGUUCAAUUAUGAGUAGCUAAUUUUCUUUCAAGCUUGGGUAAUGUAAAGUCUCAACAUGUGCCAUGGGCUUUAUUUAAUAAAUUUACUUUCUCUUCCCCUCUAAUUAUUGUGGAUGUUUUGACUUUUCAUUGACAAAUAGUAAUAAUCUUAUCUAGAUACCGUACUGGUUUAAUCGGCUCCCUAGUACAAGGUUAUUAUUAUUUGGCACGAUAAGCUCUUAGCACUAUAUUGAUUAGAAUGGAGUGAAAACCCCCCUCAUGAUUUAAUUGGCAUUAAUAAAGAAUAUUUAGCCCAUGGUGCAUGUUGAUACAGAUUCAGAUACCCAAGCACCUCAUUUUAAUAGAUUUUCAAUUCAAUUUAUUCUCGCCAUUUUAAUUUAAAUUUUAGGAUAAUUUAAAUCACUUCCAUCACAAAUUCAAUCACCCACUUAUGAAAAUUAAUUCUACACACAAUUAAAAUCCACCUCCUCGUGGGAUCGACACUCGCCACCAUUAAUCUAUUCUACAAUAGAUUCAUGCACUUGAGAGUUCAAUAAAAUUUGCAUAACAACAACUCUCUCAAGGUAAAUUUUGUCUAUAUGUACUCCAAAUUCGGUCAAACCAUAUAUGCACGAACAAAACUAAAAUUUAGUUUUUAUCACAACAUUAAUUAAAGCUACAAAAGCCAGCAAAUCCAAAUACGUAAAAUGAAGAUCUUAUUCAAGUUUAUAGACAGUAACCUAACCACGGAAUCACUUGUGGCAAAUCAAAUUCAAAAUAGUGUCCCCAAAAGAUUGCUCAAAUGAAAAGUAUUGAAUGGAUCAAUGCUGAAUUACAUUUGAAGUGGAAAGCUUGGCUACAAUUAUGAUGUUUCCCCUCUGAUUUCCUCCAAAACAAAUUCAGCUUGAAUUGUAACCGAAGUAACAACAAUUUAUUUAUUAAAGAAAACACCCGAGUUUUCAGCUAACGAAUCCUCUUCUUUAAACUAAAAAGCCCACAUCCCUAAAAAUGUUGGCAUUGCUUCUGCCCCUCACUACAACAAACAGUUAUAUCACCAACGAAAUAUUUUUGAGGGCAUAAAAUACCUUUAAUAAUGAGUACUUUUUCCUAAGGUGUAAGAUGGUCGACGAAUAAGGAUGAAAAUAUGAUCAAUAUUUCCGAUGGCAGUUUGCCCUUGGUGAUAAUGAAUACUUUGUUGAAAAUGCCUGCUAGACUUGACUAGAAGCACCCUAAAAUUUACACACUUCGGGCCCGGUCUUUGGAGUAGAGUACUAAAACCAUAAGCCCAUAGCCAUAACUUCCAAUAAUUUUUUCAUUGGAGUAGCGUACUUGGCAAAUUCUUUUCUUGUAAAUUUAAUUACUCUUGGUAAAAUUAAAAACCUAAAAGAAUGAAAUACAAAUAAAAAGCUAAGAAAAUACGGAAGAAACGAAAAAAUAAACAAAAGGAAAAAAAACAGAAGGGAAAAGUUCAAAAGAAAACGAAAAAGAACAAAGUUAAAGAGAACGAAAAAGAAAGAAAAAAAAGGAAUAAGUUCUUUAAUCAUUGCAGCGCAAGCACUCACAUCUCUUACUUUUCAAUUUUUCGUUGUCCAUUGCUCGCCCAAUCACUUUGGUAAUUAUUUCACUGUUGCUUUCUCUAUUUGCACUAGAUAUCAUCUUUUUUUGUUUUUGUUUUUCCUUCAAUUAACUUAGGGUUGGGUUAUAGUUUCCAUCAUUGAUGAUGAGUGUGAAGGCUAAUUAUUUCUCUUAAGUUUGUAAUUGUUACCAUCUCUUGCAUAAUCGCUCCCUCUCUGCUUCUAAUUUUGUUUUUAAUUUGUUUUUGCUGCUUCUGAUUUUGUUUUAGGCCAAAUGGUAGCUUCCUGUAAGUCUGGUAAUGCUAUUGCAUUUUUUUUAAUUUUUUAAUUUUUUAAUUUGUAUUUUGGAGCUCUUACUUGUGAUGCUAAUUAUUUAGAAUUCAUUGUUUGUUAUUUGAUUUGGAUUAAUUUUAAUGAUCUUUUUGCUCGAUUUCAUUAAUUAAUUUUUUUUUCAUUUUUAAUGUUAUGUGAUGCUAAGUAUGGACUGUAAAGGAUCUUGAUAUUUUUUAAUUUUGAGGAGUUGUAGGGAGAUGAAGUGAAAUAAACUUUUCGGGUGUCAUGUGUAUAUAGAAUUGUUUGCUAGAGCUAACUGAUGGGUUGACCCUAGCAAAAGAUAAAAUACUAUCUAAGCAACCCAAGAGAGGGGGUGAAUUGGAUUAUUAAAAAUUAAGUUAAGCAAACCACACAACAAUUUAAUCUAAUGUCUUAAUGGAAUAAAAAACAAUAAAUUCAAUAAAGCACAAUAAUAAGAGAGUACGGGAAGAGAAAAUAAACACAAUGAUUUUACGUGGUUCGGCAAUCACUGCCUACGUCCAUGCCUCCAAGCUCACCGGGCUUAAGGAUUUCACUAAGCAAGCCUCCAAGGCUUCAAAUGCUUACAAUUGACUUUCAAGGUGUCAAUGGACCUUCACAACAAGAGAUUAUCCCCAAUCUAUUAACCCAAGUGUAUCCCAACACUUUCAAUCUCUUAACUUGAUUUUACAAAAAGGAUUACAAAUGAAUUUCUCUCACACAAUGUGUUUGAUCACAAAUGAAAGCUCAAUGUGUGAAUGAAUGAGAUGAAUACAAGGAUUUAAAGCUCAAUGCAAGUUGUAUUCUCAAUAUUUUGCUCAAUGAUAAUCGUUGGAAUUGUUAUUAUUUGAAUUUGAUUGAGUUUAUUUAUAGUUGGAGCUGAAAACUAGCCGUUAUUGACUUUCUGCUCACUAUCGGAUCGCCGUUAACUGGAUGUCGGAUUGCCGUUUGACUGGUCAAUAUGAUCGUUGGGCUGAAUUUUCAAAUUGUCGGAUCGCUGUUUUCAAGAUGUCGGAUUGCCAUUAGUGUCUAGAAGCUAUUCUUCAAUUCUGUUUGAUGUCCGUUAGCUGUUAUCAAGAUGUCGGUUAGCCGUUGCUACAGUGACUGCUACAGUGAAUUAUUUUAUAAAAUUAUAAUUUGGCCCCAAAACUUUAUAAAAUUACACUAUGACCUAAAACUUUGUAAAACUUAUCAAAUAAGUCCAUUUCAAGAAUUUUAAGCAAUAUUUGCUAAUUUGAAAGUUCUAUUUAAAACAUUAGCAUGAAAAUAACUAAGAUCAUAAAAUCACUUUUCAUUGAAUAUAAAACCUUAAUAAUUUGAAUAUAUAUAUAAAAAAUAAUUUGAGCUUUUAAAAUAAUCAUUCUUAAUUUUAUUUGUUAUCAUCAAAUCAACAUUAUGGAUACAUAAAUGUUAACAAAAGAGACAUUCUGAUAAUUAAUUAAAUGCAUUACAAGAACGAUAGCUACUUUUUAGAAAUUAAAGAUGACUAAAAAAAAUGUAAGUUAAUGCUAUAUUAACGUGGUGGUUAACUUUGUACUUUGAAUUUUGCAGCAUGAAUUUGGUAUAUUGGUAUUUUCAUUUUGUGUGUACUAAAAAACUUAAAAGGAAGAUAAAAAUAGAUGAGCUACCAGGGAGAUAAAAUUCAAUCUACGGUGAACUAGUUGUAUUUCUUUUUUCUUUUUUUGCCUCACUUUCUAUGCAUCCUCAUUUUAAAUAGUUAGUAUUGCUGGUAUUGGUUUUAUCAUAAUCAUAACUUGUGAGAUGAAUUUCGUGCUUAAAAUUAUUUUUUUUUUGUUGAAAGGGUGUAUAAAAUUAAUAGUAAUAUCAAGAAUAAGUUUCUUAAGCUUUGAACUGAAUACAUAUAAAGCUUUUAAACUUUUCCUGGCUUGCUACAAUGAUUUCUUUUCUAAGCUUUUCCUGCCUUUUUAAAGCACUUAUUCACAUGUUUCAGGUUUUGAUUGUUGUAAAAGAUAGGAGAGCCAGCACAUGGUCGUGUUGUUGGUUGGGGAGUAGGCAUCAAAGGCAAGGAUGUGUAUGGUUCUCCAAGUCAAGGAGGUAACAAGCAUCAAUGUACUAUUUUGGAAGUGUAAGUGAAAGACUUAGAGAAAGAAGUUGAGAAGUUGAAAAGACUGAUAAAGCUCGUUCUUGGAAAGUCUGCACAAGAAUCAUCUCAAAAGGUAUAGGUUGUUUAUUCAUUUUAUUAAUAGAUUAAUUGAAUGAGUAUGUUCUAUGUUUUGAGUUCUCAUGGAAAAUGAUUGGUGACUUGUCAUUGCUCUUUUAGUUAACGAACUUAAGUGAUUAUGGACAAACUUAUAAUAUAGGUGGAUGAUGGAAUAACUAUUAGAUUUUUUUGAAACAGAGUCGGCAUUUGUAUAGAGUUUUUUUAUUACACUAUUUCUCUCAUUAGUCUCAGCUUCUUUAUUAUAUUUUAUACCAGUUUUCGUUUUGGUAAUAAUAGUGAUUAAAAUUCUUUCUUUUACCUAGGAUAUUGUUUUGACGGAAGAAGAUGAUGAUGGGUAUGAGGAUGAUGAAGUCGACGCAAACGAUUCAGAAACUAAAGAAGUUGCUUUAAAGGAUGAUUGAACACAUUCAAGAUAUGAUGAUAUCAUUUUGUAUAUACAUUUGGUAUAUUUUUUUUGGAUAAAAGAUACUAUAAAAUUGAAUUUUUUGUUGUAUUUUUGAAUGAUGAAUGUGAUUUUAUGAAUUUUUGAAAUUACUGAAGUUACAUUUAGUACAUUUCGAAUAUUAUUAUUACUUUUGUUGCAUCACUUCUCUAAUAUAGAUAUUUCAACAAUAAAAAAAAUAAUGAAAUAAUAUUGUUAAAUAAAAUAAAGGGGGCCAUUAAACAGCAAAAUAAGUUUAUUUUCGAUAGUAUAUCUUUUAUUUCCGAGGGCAAGUUGCAGUUGAAAAUAAAAAUAACCAGGUUUAUUUAUCUUUUUUCCAAGGGCAUUUAAUUCCAUUUCCGAUGGCAAUGCGCUCGGAAAUAAUUUUUUUCUCCGACGACUCAUCGAAAAUUCAACAUUUCCGAUAAGACUUGAUAUGACGACAAUCGACGGCAUACCCCGCUCGAAAAUGAGUUUUUCCGAGGGUCUUGUGUAUUUCCAAGGGUAUUUGCCUUCGGAAAUGACCCAUUUCUUGUAGUGCCUAUUAUCCACUCCUCUAGCCAAUACAUUGAUUUCAAGUGUAACACCUUUAGCUCUAGAAAACUACCAGAGCAAACACAAGCCAACUUUCUUCCUAAAUACGAGUUCUGAUUAAAUUUCCACACAUGAAGGUGUGGAAGCUUUUCCAGUGUUUGGCAUGAGAUCCUUCUUUAGCUCAGUAUUUGAUAAGCUCAAUUGGGUCAAACUUUGAGCAAAUUGGUAUUCAGACAGGACAAUCUGUGAGAGCUCGCUUUCAUUCACCAGUUUCAAGCAUUCAAGUUUGUGUAGUUCGCAUAGGCUUUUGGAAACCCCAGAAUGAUAAUUCAAAUCUCCAAAUACUCUAAGGUGGUGUUUAGUUGGGAGGAGAGAAUAGAAGAAAGGAAAGUAAUUUAAAUUCUCUUUUUAUUUUCAUUGCUUGGUUUGACAAAAUACAUAAGAAUUUAAUUGCCAUUAGAAUUUAAUAUCCAUCAUAAUGUAGAAUUUGAAUUCCACACUAAGUAGUGAAGAAUUUAAAUUCAUCUUAUGUUAAAAACUAAAGUUUCCAAAAGUACCCUUCAACUUUUUAACUUGUUUAAUGCCAUUAAUAAUUAUUAUUUAUAAUUUUAUUGAUUUAAUAUUAUAAAUGGACCUCCACUGGAAAGUUGCCGGACCACCGCUGGCCUUUCGCUGGAUCUCUACCAGACGUCGUCAGAUAGUCGCCGGACCUCAACGGGACUUCGCCGGAAAGUCGUCGGACCUUCGCUGCCGACCACCGAAUCGCCAUUUUAUUAUACAUACAUACAUACAUACAUACAUACAUACAUAUAUAUAUAUAUAUAUAUAUAUAUAUAAAUAUAUAUAUAUAUAUAUAUAUAUUAUUACUAAUAUAAAUAGUUUAAUAUUUAAGGUAAAGGAUAAAUUUGUCUAAAGAAAUUUUUUUUUAUUCCUUUCCUUAUCAAAUUUUAUAUCAAACCAAACAACAAAAUCUAAUUUCAUUACUCUUCUCUAUUCCUUUCUUCUCCCUUCCUCUCCUCCCUUUUCUUCAAACCAAACUUGGCCUAAGAGUUUAAAGAUUAGGUGGUGUGCCCAAUAUAUUUGGAGUGCAGCUACUAGGGUGCAAGGCUGACAAGAAAAUGAGAUUUUUCAGAGAGUUGGAAUAAUUUUUUGGAGGUGCAGGCAGAGUGAUGCAACCAAAGUUUAGAUGCAUGAGUUUAUGCAUAUUCCAAAUAUCCUCUGGUGUUUGAUCUAUGUAGCUAGAUGGCAUAUCUAGUGUGUAAAGGUCUAAAAGGGUGCAGAGGGAGGAGGGCAGGCUUUUGAGGCAAGGAAUAUUCAGGUUCAAAUAUCUCAAAAGGAAUAAAUUUUCAAUUCCAGGAGGAUAUUCGUCCAAAAGGGAACCCAAGUUCAAUACCUUGAGAAGUUUGAACUUUUUAGAAAUCUCCAUGCAAUCUAUGAUGGCAGGACGAUCACCUUCUUUCUAGUUUAACAAAGUAUGGAUGUAAGUCUCAGAAUGCUCUAAAGAAACAAAGUGAGUCAGAUUUCCAAGAAUGGAGAAGCGCUUAAUACUUUUCAAUGAUUGUGCUUCUUUGCCUCUGUGAAUCAGCUCGACAAUUUGGAUCACUUCAUCCACUCUGAAUAAUACACCAUGGACAAAAGUUCGACCAUAGCAUGUUUUAAUUGUGCCUCCAGCUCUUCUCUUAGUCACUUGAAUGAAGCCGCUAUUGCAUAGUUCUUUCAAGUACCCUUUGGCCAUUUUCCUCACUAUUGUAAUUGUCUGCUAUCAAACCUUCAGCUAUCCAUAACUGAAAUAAUUUCCUGGUAAAUAUCUCAGUCUUUGGAGGGAAGACAAACAAAUAGAGGCAGCAGACUUUCAACUAUAAAGGUAACUCAAACGCAGACACUAAUUUUGACAUAACUGGAUAAGCCAUUGUUUCACCGAUAAGAUUUCGUAAUGGCGAACUUCCAUAGUGCAGGAUGAAAAAUUGCAAGGCUUCGUGCUUUAUUCUGAUUGAUGGUCCUCCUGCGAGCACUGAAUCGUGCCGAAUCUCCUCUCCAUUUUCCAAUUCCAACGAGGUAAAGAGGUAUGGAUCACCGACAGUCACCAAUACUCUGCUUCCAUUCUGAUUAUCACGAAGAACUUCUUCUAGAUCAUCCCAUAUCUCACUGUUACUGAAGACAUCGUCAAGCACUAUAAAGUGCUUUCUGUUUGUUAGGUAAUCACGAAGAAUGGUGUUCUUCGAUUCAUAAUCUUUACCCAUAGUUUCACCCCAUUUCGAUGCAGGCAUCGAAGACUUCAUUAUAUCAUCCAACAUAUUUUCGGAAUUGAUGUAAAAAGACAUCCUAAUCUAAGCAUGACAAUCAAAAUAAAAUUUGACAUGAUUGUUGUUGUAAGUCUCAGCAGCAAAAGCCGAUGUUGUCCCUCGGUCAAUAAAUCUAACAACUCCUCUCUGCCCCUUUUUAAUUCACUGAUAUCAUGAUUAAACUCUGAACUUGAAGAAUUACCCUUUGAAUGAAGCGGUCCCAUGCUGCACUACUGAAAUCAAAAUCACCGAAACUGGGUGGAAGUUGUUGCAGCCGAUUUCCAAUGUCAAUGAUCUUAGAUUGGAGUCGAAGAUGGGCAUCAAAGAGUUUCUUACAAGUAGCGGUGCCUUCAGUUUCACUUUUUGUUGCUGCUGCGUGAUGCUGAUGAAAAAUGUGUCAAUUAAUCAAUGGCUUUCUCAGAUUUAUGGACAAAGUAAUUGAUGUCCUUCAGAAUGCCACAAUGUCUGGUCUGUGAAUUUCUAUUUCUCUGACGAGAGAAAGAAGAAGCAAAAUCAUGUCGGUUUGAUAGUCCCCAGGAGAAAAAUAGUAAUAGUUGCAGACUCUGUAAGAAAGUUUUUAAAAAGUGCGUUAAAUUUGUUGAAUCAGGCAACGUUAACGUGCCUCUUCACAUGCUAACACCCUCUAACACCGCACACCAAAUAGUGUGAUGUUAAUCUCCAUAUCUCUACCUCUCCCAGUAGUACUCAGAGGUACGUAUUGUUAUUUGUUAUUGUUGAAGACGGAAGCUGAAUAACAAAACAGCAGUGUACACAAUCAACAGAAGGCAAAGUAUAUUAAUUUGAGAUCAAAGGAUAUAAAUAAAGGAAAAGUUUAUGUAGAUUGAGAAUGGAUGGAUGCAAAGAAUGACUGAUAUUAAAUGAUUUCUAUAAAGAGAUACGCAAAGAAUGACUGAUAUUAAGUGAACAUCAAGGAUGGGAAUAAAAGUUAAAGGCGACCCAUUUUUUUUUUUAAAGUACUCUGUUGAAAGCCCAAAGUUCCUUUGGUUAAUUAAUUUAGAAGUGAAGGAAAGAUUAAAGUCAGUCCCAGAUGUCUUUUGAAAUUAGAAAUACAUUUUGAAUGCUUUAAUAGAUACAGAACAAACUGGCUCGAUAUCUAAUUAUUUUAAGAGCUAGCAUCAUUUAUUUAAAAAUUAUUGCAUUAAAUAAACUGGCUUGAUAUCCAAUUUUGUUAUUGAAUAUGUCUCACUUGUGAUUAAAUAACUGUUGUGUUAUUGGCAGAUGGGUAUGCUAGUUUUUAUUGCUCCUUGAAUUAAAUUGAAAAAUUAUUGAGACGGAUAAGUUUGGGCCGGGGACUGAAACUACAAAUCAGUCAUAGAAAAUUGUAAUUUUGUUGGCUUAUCAUGAUUUUGAUCGCCUCACAUUGAUUUUCUUAUGAUGUCUCUGUAGAGUGGCUAUGCUUACAUUUUUAGGUAUUUAAUUCUAAAGAUUAACUUAUUAGAGGGGGGAUGGCCAACACCGUCGGAGGACUCUUUUUGUCCAACAUACCUGAGUUGUUUCACCAUCAUAUUCUAAGGGUUUGCUGCUGAUACGAUUUGUUGGGGAGCUAAGGCUAAGAUUUGUAAGUAUCAACAUAAAAAACUUGCCUAUUAGAUGGAAGGACCAAUCCUACUUAUAAGUCUAAGUGACUAAUUUUUAUGGACACCAACUCAACAAACCGAUAUAAACUUUUGACCGUCCAGUUUUAUUACUUUCCAGUGAUUUUACUUUUGCUGUCUAUAGACCUACUAUUUCUCUCAAGCAGAAAUUAUUUCAAGGCACUCUCUGUCCAGCAGAUAACUUUGGUUUUUAUUAUCUUUUCUUUCCAUUUUAUGUAUACCUCGAUCUUUAUCUCUGAUUGGUUGUAGAUUCUUUUGUUGCUUUGGUGUUAGAGGAUGGUUUCUUCUAGAUCCAAGAUUUCGGUCCAUUAGAUUGAUCUAGAAGAUUUUUAAAAUUAUUAGGUCAAUCAAUGCAGAAAAGUUCCUUCAAGAAAUGACAAAGCAUUUGUUAGUUCUGUCUAACAAACGACAUUAACAUGAAGGAUGAUGAUUAUUCUGAUCAGGAGUUUGUAAUGACAUAAUUCUACUUGAGAAAUGAGGAGUAUGUGAGUGAUGAUUUUUACAAAAUAAAUUGCAUGCGUAGUGAUGAUUUUGACCCAUGAAAGCGGGAAAAGAAAUAUAAUUUGUGAAUAAUAAUUGAAGUAUCUGCUAUUGUUAUUUUGAGUAAUCAAGGAAUUCAAUAUUCGGACGAUAUAAGCAACCCAAUCAAAUAUUAAUUGGAAGGCGCAGCAAAAUUACAAUGUAGAAUUUUAUUCAAAUUGGGUACUGAUAAAUGGAUGGCUUUGGUAGAAUUGAAAAUGAUUGCAUAAGAAAACCCAAGUUAGGAGAAAAGGGAAAGAGCAUUUGAACUUUACUUGUAAGUAAAGGCAAAUAUCUUGGUUCAAGAAAAGAUAAAGAUAUCAAACUAGCAAUAGGAAAAAGAAGGAAGGUUAAGAAAGCAUCUUAACAAGGGCUAAAGAAAGCAAAAACUUAAAGUUCAAGAAAAGAACAACAUGCUAAUGUCCUGUAAUCUUGUUUAAUUUCUUUUUCUUCUCAUAUUUUCCAGGGCUUAACUUGGAGUACUUCUGAGCACACAAAAGCAAAAAAAAUAAUACGACGUACAUCCCCACUAAAAUAAAAUAAAAUCAAGUUUGUGGACAAUACUGUAGCCAUGGCGUCAUUGAAAUCUACUGAACAAAAAAAAUGCCCAACCUUAUGAGAACUUAUGAAUAGACGGCUGAAACAAAAAAUGAAUGGAUGAAUGCUGAAUUACAGUUGAAAAUUGAAGGUCUGGCAGGUGAUGUCAAGAAAAUAAGAAUCGCAAAUGAAAAUCUGCUAUGUACAGUUCGAUUACAAUGCAGAGGGGCCUUUCUUUGUUUCUUUGCAGCAAUGUCCUUGGCUAUAUAAUUUUGACAUUAGAAACAGCAACAAUUAGACUGGCAUUUGAAAGAGUCCUUUAAGGUAUUACUACAAAUAUAAAUCGACUGAGAAAAUGGAAAAAUUGAAAGCCGAAUUAGGCAAAUUAACUUAAGAUUGAGUUAUCAUAGAAGUGCAAAACUCACCCAAUUCAAUCCAUCAAAUUCCAUAAGGACAUAACUGGAUGUCAUAUCUGCUCCAUAUCCUCAAAAGCCUGAAGAUUUUGCCUCUACUCUGGCUGAGGCCAGUGUAAAUCCAAUUUGCAAAAGCUCUUUAUGCUCCAAAGCUCUUCGGGAAGUUUUCUCAAGUAAGCACAGGGGUUGACAAUUAAGCUUUCAAGUUUUGGCAUUGCUCC